AAUUAAAUUUAUUAAUAUGUUUUUUUUUUUUAAUUUUUUAUAAAAAUAAUUUAUUUAUUUAAUGUUUUAGUAUUAAUUAAAAAUUAAUUUAUAGAUUUAUAGUUUAAUAGUAUUGUAGAAGAAAUUGUUAAAUUUAAUAAAGAAUUUAUUAGUACCUUUUGUAUCAGGGUUGAUUAAAAUUUUUAAUUUUUUUUUAAUUUCUCAAAAUUUAUAGAGUUAAUUUUAUUAUUAAUUUAUUGUAGUAAAAAUAUUUAAAAAAUAAUAUUAGUUUUGAAAUUUAAUUCGUUAUAUUAUAUUUAGUUAUUUAAGAUUUAAAUUUAAUUUAAAAUUUUAAAAGUUAUAUUGAUUUUAUUAAUUAAUAUUUUAGAUUUAAAUUAUUUUAGGGAUAAGCUUGAAAUUUUAAUAUAAUAAUUUAUUUAUUUUAAUAAUUUAUAGGAAUAGAAAUUUUUAUAUAAGUUUGUAAAAAUUUAUUAUUUAUUUAAUUUUAAUUUAUUAUAUUUAUAUUUAUUUUUAGUAUUAAAUUUUAUUAAUUAAUAUUUAAUUAAUAGUAAUAAUGAUUAAAUUAGUAUAAUAUAUAAAUUUAUAAAUUAUGAAUUCGGCAAAAAUUAUUUUCACCUGUUUAACAAAAACAUUGUAUUAAGUUUAAUUUAAUAUAGGAUCUGCUCAAUGAUUUAUUAAAUAGCUGCAGUAUUUUGACUGUGCAAAGGUAGCAUAAUAAUUAGUCUUUUAAUUGAGGACUUGAAUGAAAGAUUUGAUGAGAAAUAAACUUAUUAUUUGUAAAAUUAGAAUUUUAUUUUUAAGUAAAAAAGCUUAAAUUAUUUAAAGGGACGAUAAGACCCUAUAAAACUUUAUAAAUUUUAAUUUUAAUUUUUUUGGAUUUAUAAAUAUUUUACAAUUAAAAUUUAUUUUAUUGGGGUGAUAAAAAAAAUUAAUAAACUUUUUUUAAAAUUUAACAUUAUUUAAUGAUUAUUUGAAUUAAAAUUUUUAAUUAAAGGAAAAAGUUACUUUAGGGAUAACAGCGUAACUAAUUUUUUAAGUUCAAAUUUAAAAAUUAGUUUGCGACCUCGAUGUUGAAUUAAGAUUAAUCUUAGGUGCAAAAUUUUAAGUAUUAGGUCUGUUCGACCUUUAAUUUCUUACAUGAUUUGAGUUCAAACCGGUGUAAGCCAGGUUGGUUUCUAUCUUUUAUUAAUUAAAUUAUUUUAGUACGAAAGGAUUGAAUAAUUAAAUUAAAUUUUUUUAUAAUGAAUUAAAAUAAUUUA
rnacentral:rRNA from 1 species